rnacentral:misc_RNA from 1 species
GCUCACAGAAUACCCACAGUCAUGGACUGCGACAGGGUUUUAGUUAUAGAUGCAGGACGGGCAAGGGAAUUUGAUAAACCUUCUCGUUUACUUGAGAGGCCAUCACUCUUCGGAGCACUGGUACAGGAGUAUGCCAAUCGUUCAGCUGGAUUAUGAUAAAAUCAGACUUUAUCAUAAUCUGUGAAGACCACAACUCGAUUUGCAGAAGAUAUCAGUCCAGUCAAUUUGAAAAGAAGAGCCUUCUCAUUCACCUAAAAGGAGAAGAGCCUCUUUUUGUAUCUAAAUUUUCA